rnacentral:sRNA from 1 species
GUAUUUUGGCGCCGCUGACUCCGGGGCUGGACGAUCCUCCGAGUCGGCCCUGCCAGUUUCCAGAGAAGGCGCCUGAGAAGGAGAAACGAAUCGCUGCUGCUCUUCUAAAAGCCGGUUCUGUCUCUGGUGUCUGUGGACCCUGCUUCUGAAGUACAUGAACCUUGAGGAAAAUUGACCAGUCUAGCAAUUCUAAAAUCAUGGCUCGUGAUUUGGUGAUGUUCAGAGAUGUGGCUGUAGACUUUUCUCAGGAAGAGUGGGAAUGCCUGAACUCAUAUCAGAGGAAUCUGUACAGAGAUGUGAUAUUAGAGAACUAUAGCAACUUGGUGUCACUGGGUAAGCAUAGCAUAUCUGUGUCAGAUAAUUUAGAAAUUCACAGGACUGAAUUUCUGGGCUGUCUUUCUUUUUUUUUUUUUUUUUCCCCCAAAGACGAAGUCUCGCUGAGUCACCAGGCUGGAGUGCAGUGGCGCAAUCUUGGCUUACUGCAACCACUACCUCCUGGGUCCAAGCAAUUCUACUGCCUCAGCCUCCCAAGUAGCUGGGACUACAGGCACACGCCACCA